UGCGUAGGUGGCGGGGUAAGUUUGAUGUGAAAUCUCCGAGCUUAACUCGGAAACUGCAUUGAAUACUACUUUGCUUGAGGUUUGGGAGGGGGGGACUGGAAUUCUCGGUGUAGCAGUGAAAUGCGUAGAUAUCGAGAGGAACACCAGUGGCGAAGGCGAGUCCCUGGACAACACCUGACACUGAGGCACGAAAGUAGGGAGGGCGAAACA
rnacentral:rRNA from 1 species